CGCGCCCCCCGAUCUCGUUGGCCCGUUCUGCCUCGCUGUAAAGAUAUAUGUCCUUUUCAACUGGCUGUAAAACAUCCAGCCGUCCGUUUUUCAUUACGUCGUGGCUUUGCGGUUUGGAGGAUGACACAUGGGCCAGCCAUUUGCGUGGGACCAGUGGUGCAGUGUGCGUUGCGUGCGUGAGAAAAGGGGUCGACUACUAGGUCACACCACCUCACGACCAGAUGAAACCUAGCCUAGCCUCCAAUCCGCAACUGCCUUUCUCCCUCCCUCAUCCUCCCUUUUCCCUCGCUCGCCAUCCGCCGCCACACAGAUCCACCGCGUGCUCCCGUCCUCGAGCCCGAGGCCGCUUCCCCUUCGCGCCACCGUCGUGGCUUAGGCCAAGGCAACGACCGGGUCUUGGUGGAGGCAGAAGCACGUGGAGAGCCCGGCGGCUGCAGGUAGAAGCAGGGGUUGUGCAGUGGUGGAUGCGGUCGGCGUCGGUGAUUGAGGAAGGCUCGCCGGUCAGAGCGGCCGGAGAAGAUGGAAAGAAUAGCACGACCCUGCACAAUACGCACCCCCGGCCACCGCCUGCUCGUCCUUCAUGUGGUGUCAUCGCAGCUUUUGAAAAAGGAGUAGGAGGAGCCACAGAUGAGGAGGAAGGAGACCAGCAAGGGGACGAGAUAUUCUUGUUCAAUUUGGUUCUCAUGGUGGCAUCUUUAGGUUCCAUCUUUGAUGCUUGGAUUUGUUGUCUAGCCAGCAGGAGUAGGAGACAGUGAGUAUCAGGAAGGAGACAAGCAGGGGGAAGAGAGACUCUUGGGUGUGGGUGUAUUGUUAUUUAUUGAGUCAAUUGAGAAAUCCUUUGCUUCUUCUAAUAUUAAUAAAUACAAAUUGGUGCCUUCAGUUAUUCUACUACCACUAUUAAGCUUGUACGUGCAACGCACGACAAUACAAUAUAAAAAAAUCUCAUCCAUCUAGCUAGACUUAUGAACCAACAAGAAAAACAUCUUACCUAAAUUUUCAGACGCAACAUUUAACCAAAUAGUUCCAAAGAAAAUAUUUUGAUAAGAUAUCCGAACCUCUAUAGUUGCAAAUUCAAUGCACAGACAAACAUUUUAUGUUGUAAUAAGUGCUUGGUCAUCCAAAAUUCUAAUACGCUUUAGAUCCUUAUUAAUCAUCUCAAGCAUCAGAUAAAGUUAUAUUCAUGUGAAGCAAAUUGAUUAUAUAAGAAUGUUUUCUUUCGUCGCACAAAAAUGUAAUAUUCCAUUCACGAAAUCCUUAAAUAUGCGCGUGCGAGCGCGCGCACACACACACACAAAAAUCAAGUAUAUCGAUAUUACAUCACAAAAACAAGUAUUUUUGUAUUACAUCUUAAAGAAAGUACACUCAUAUUCCAUCGCAAACAAGCAUAUUAUUUUUGAAAAGUUGACAUGAGCAAUGUCGUAUCUAUUGGUAGUCGUAGAUAGUUUUACAAUCGGAUCCAUACAGCCAAGCUCCCAAGACACUACCUCAUUCUCACUAACUAUCUGAUCAUUCCCUAAAAAAACUAAUUCUGAUCUUGAAUGUGGCGUCACUGAUUCCCCUGUAACUUCUGAGGUCUCACGCAUGUAUAAUAACCAAUGAAAACUGGACGCGGAGUAACUGCACACGAGCUCAAAUGCUCUCGUUAUCCACAGCGUUGGCUGGCGCCUAUAGAUCUGUGCGAUUAUUUUAUACUACCGCUGUUGGUCGUCCAGAAAUCGAGUACUGUUCCGAAAUACGUACACGGCAGCGGUGUACAUUGGGCCAUGUUUAACGCUCCGGAUGAGGGAAGUUUGCCGCUGGGGAGGUGUUCCAUGGAUCAGAAUCAGAGCCGCCGUCUGAUCCGUGCAUCGUGAAGUUCGCUUUACCGUCCGGCCGGCCCUGAGUCAAAUUGAAUGCAGGGUCCAGCGUGUUCUUUUGCAAGGCGAGUGGCGGUUUGAAGGCGACGAGUGGGAGAUAGAGAUUCGGAGCGGCGGCGGCGAUCCAACAUGAAGUUUUUUGUGCAGCCGAUAGGCAGAUCUGCUCUCCUUGAGUGGGUAGGAGAGAGUCUGGUGCCUCCCCCAUGUAGUUGUGAAUGGCGGUGUGGCGGCAGAGCAAUCGCUGUCGGAGCAGCAGAUGGCGGCCGAGAGCGGCGAAGCACAAAUCUUGGCGGCGGCAGAGGCUGCAGCGGGCAGAAGGGAAAGCUCCCCUCGAAAGUCCGAGCUCUCGAUGGGGAAGAGGAAUCCCCUGGUGCCCGGAUGGAAUAAGAGGCUAAGGAUUGGUGCUGCUGCACCAAGCAUGACACCGUGUCCGAAUCGAAUCAGUGCGUUCGAGAAGGCUGUAAGAUGUUUUGCAGAGAAGCCAGCUUCAAAUGUUCUUGGCACUACAUUUGACUCCUUGGGCAAGGCUUGUGACUUCUACAAUCUGUAUUCAUGGGAAAAAGGUUUUGGCAUUCGCUAUGGGAAGAGACGGCUAAAUGUGGAGUGGGUAAAAUGCAUGCAGGAAAUAGUUUGUGGCUGCUCGGGUAAAGCUGCGGUAGACUUCUACAGGCAGAAGACAAUGGAAGGUAUAUUGCAGAGCAUAGAGAGAAUCAUAACUACUCACUCUCGCCUAAUUUUGGUGAUAAAAUCCAUUGGCCAUCACAUAAGCAUAUUUGACGUGUACCGCAGAGAUCUCGUAAAGCAACUUAGGCAGAACAAUGUGAAUCUGGGCAAGGUUUAUAGUAUCAUAGUCAUAGGUGGCUUUUUUGGUUCAAUGGAGAAGAGUGAAGUGCAUCAUAGGUCCUCGAACUAUUUUAGAGGUGUCACGUAGGUCCUCGAACUAUGAAAAUCGUCAUCCAUGUCCUCAAAGUGCAAUAUGUGUGUUAUCCUGGUCCUCGAACUAUUUCAAAGGUGUCAUAUAGGUCCUUGAACUAUUUCGAAGGUGUCACAUAUAUACACACUUAUUACAGUUCAAGGAUUUUUGAGGACCUAGAUGACACUUUUCAUAGUUUGAGGACCUACAUGACACCUUCGAAAUAGUUUGAGGACCUAGAAUGCACUUUACUCAAUGGAGAAUGUUCCCUUCACCAAGAGGUCUUUGUGAAAUCUGUGUGGGCAGAUCAACAGGGACCAGGCGGAUGAUGAUGUGAGGAAGACAAUGGAAGUUUUUGCAGACAUUGGAGCCAAGGAUCCGCAUUUUACAUACCGGGUUCAGGCUGACACUGAGGGCAGGUGCUCGAUUUCAUUAGGGCUAAAGAAAUACCAGCUAAGCAUAUAGUGAAGAGAUGGACGAGGGAUGAUCGCGACGUUCUGCCACCUCAUUUGAUACAAUACCAAAAGGACAGCAUGCAGAACAACCCUUUUUCGUACAGACACUUCACGAUGUACUUGCACGCCAUGGAUCUAGUCAGGCCGGCGACACUAGCGUUGAAGCCUACAAUCGGUUGCUGUAGUUGUUCAAGUCCAACUUGAUAGUGAUGUUACCCUAUGUAGAAGUUAGGGAUGGUCUUGGCCAGACUGGCGGACAGUGGUGCCGUAAAUCAGAGCCCCAUGGAGAUGGUUGCAGUGGAACAAAACAUUAUCGUCGAUGGAGGUACUGCUGAUUUAGCGGACAAUGAUUCUGUGUCCAGGACAAGCAACAUGUUGGAAGGACUACUGGCUCCAGCAAAACAGAAAGAUAUUGGGCGGCCAACGACAAGUAUGGAGAAGGCUCCAUAUGAAGUCUAAGCAAGAGGACUAGGUUUUGCACGAUUUGCAGAAAGCAAGGGCAUAAGCGAACUACAUGCCCCGGCCCUGGUGAUGUCCCCAAGCAACCUUGGUAGCCUGCGAAAUGCAAGAACUGUGGCGUGAGGGGCACAUCGACAAAAUAAUUGUAAUAAAGCAAUGGAAUUAAGGCUGGCAAAUGGAAUGUAGAAGCUGAUGUGGCUCAUGAUGUCUUUUCAGUUAUCUUAUUUGCCAUUGAGGCAUAUGAAUGUAGGCAUCAUGUUUUACCUUCGGUGUGAUCAGACCGUGGUUACUUUGCAGACAGUGCAUGAGUAAUAUAAUACGUAGUAUGUCAGGUUGUGUCACUGAUUUUGUUUCAAAAUGUUGGCUUAUCCCCAGGUUUUGAUGAAUUUGUGUGCAUGCUUUUGAAGGUAAAACCUUGGCCUUUUGGUGCAGCGGGAGUGGCUGAAUUGUCUGAUUCGCUAUCUGAAAACUUGUACACUCCUGAAUAUCGAAAGAGAUGCAGAUGUGUUCUCGUUCGCUAUCUGUUUUCUGGAUCGUAAUCUAAGUUCCGGCCGUCAAUGCUUCACAGCAGAGCACCUUCUCGAACGUUGCUGGGUUGGUCUCUGAUGAAGAUCAGAAGAUGAAUCAUAUGAAGAGCAGCCGCGCUUGCAAGCUUGCAUGGAGGCGGAACAUGGUGGUGAAGAAAGGACUGGCGACUAUGAUCCAUUUGGAGCCACGGGGACUGAAGAGCUGAAUGCCCUUGUUGGUGAAGAGGGCGAGCAGUCUGAAGCACCACGCUGUGACUACGAGAAAGAAAUGGAGACAGAGGGGAACAAAUCUUCGGAGGAAGGGACGAUGGGUUGGCCACAAUAAAUGCCUCAGUUGGAUGGAGCCCGUUAGAUGACUCACGUCUGAGCCGUUGGACAUGUAAUGCGGUCGCUUCUGAUCCGCCUCGUGGGCGGUGACAGCGUUCGCAUUAAAAGCGGUAGUUGAGGGGACCACGAGCUCUGAAAAAACAGCAUAUACUACUUCAUAUACGAGGAGAUAUACCAAAGCUGGUGCAAAUCUAAGCGCGAGCUGACGGCUAAGAUAUAGAGCUCAUCUGAGCUUGAGCUCAGAAUAGUACUUUCGGUGAAAACUCUCCUACUCCGCAUGACAUGUCAAUUGUGUUCUCGCAAGAAUGGCACCAGUCUGCAAACAAAUGACUCCAAAUAUACUAAAUAUGCAGAAUUUUCCUAAUAAAACAAUACUUCAGCCAAGUACAAAGGGAAGAAACAGUC